UAAUUUAAGGGCCGCGGUAUUACUAACCGUGCAAAGGUAGCAUAAUCAUUAGAUUUUUAAUUGGAGUCUUGUAUGAAUGGUUGGACAAAAGGAAUACUGUCUUUAUAUUAAAAUUGAAUUUAACUUUUAAGUGAAAAGGCUUAAAUAAUCUAAAGGGACGAUAAGACCCUAUAAAGCUUUAUAUUAUAAUUAUAUUUUAUUGAGUUUAUAAAUAAAUUUUUAAUUUAAUUAUUUAUUGUGUUGGGGAGAUAUAAAUAUAAUUUAUAUUAACUGUAAGAUUAUAAAACAAAUAUUAAUGAA
rnacentral:rRNA from 1 species